ACGGGUGAGUAACACGUGGGAACGUACCCUUUGGUUCGGAAUAACGCUGGGAAACUAGCGCUAAUACCGGAUACGCCCUUUUGGGGAAAGGCUUGCUGCCGAAGGAUCGGCCCGCGUCUGAUUAGCUAGUUGGUGGGGUAAUGGCCUACCAAGGCGACGAUCAGUAGCUGGUCUGAGAGGAUGAUCAGCCACACUGGGACUGAGACACGGCCCAGACUCCUACGGGAGGCAGCAGUGGGGAAUAUUGGACAAUGGGCGCAAGCCUGAUCCAGCCAUGCCGCGUGAGUGAUGAAGGCCUUAGGGUUGUAAAGCUCUUUUGUCCGGGACGAUAAUGACGGUACCGGGAGAAUAAGCCCCGGCUAACUUCGUGCCAGCAGCCGCGGUAAUACGAAGGGGGCUAGCGUUGCUCGGAAUCACUGGGCGUAAAGGGCGCGUAGGCGGCCAUUCAAGUCGGGGGUGAAAGCCUGUGGCUCAACCACAGAAUUGCCUUCGAUACUGUUUGGCUUGAGUUUGGUAGAGGUUGGUGGAACUGCGAGUGUAGAGGUGAAAUUCGUAGA
rnacentral:rRNA from 1 species